rnacentral:rRNA from 1 species
GAUGAACGCUGGCGGCGUGCCUAAUACAUGCAAGUCGAGCGAACAGACGAGGAGCUUGCUCCUCUGACGUUAGCGGCGGACGGGUGAGUAACACGUGGAUAACCUACCUAUAAGACUGGGAUAACUUCGGGAAACCGGAGCUAAUACCGGAUAAUAUAUUGAACCGCAUGGUUCAAUAGUGAAAGACGGUUUUGCUGUCACUUAUAGAUGGAUCCGCGCCGCAUUAGCUAGUUGGUAAGGUAACGGCUUACCAAGGCAACGAUGCGUAGCCGACCUGAGAGGGUGAUCGGCCACACUGGAAAUGGGACACGGUCCAGACUCCUACGGGAGGCAGCAGUAGGGAAUCUUCCGCAAUGGGCGAAAGCUUGACGGAGCAACGCCGCGUGAGUGAUGAAGGUCUUCGGAUCGUAAAACUCUGUUAUUAGGGAAGAACAAAUGUGUAAGUAACUAUGCACGUCUUGACGGUACCUAAUCAGAAAGCCACGGCUAACUACGUG